rnacentral:rRNA from 1 species
UGGGGAAUUUUGGACAAUGGGCGAAAGCCUGAUCCAGCAAUGCCGCGUGUGUGAAGAAGGCCUUCGGGUUGUAAAGCACUUUCAGCGAGGAGGAAGGUGGUGAACUUAAUACGUUCAUCAAUUGACGUUACUCGCAGAAGAAGCACCGGCUAACUCCGUGCCAGCAGCCGCGGUAAUACGGAGGGUGCAAGCGUUAAUCGGAAUUACUGGGCGUAAAGCGCACGCAGGCGGUUUGUUAAGUCAGAUGUGAAAUCCCCGGGCUCAACCUGGGAACUGCAUUUGAAACUGGCAAGCUAGAGUCUCGUAGAGGGGGGUAGAAUUCCAGGUGUAGCGGUGAAAUGCGUAGAGAUCUGGAGGAAUACCGGUGGCGAAGGCGGCCCCCUGGANGAAGACUGACGCUCAGGUGCGAAAGCGUGGGGAGCAAACAGAUUAGNUACCCUGGUAGUCACGCUGUAAACGAUGUCGAUUUUGGAGGUUGUGCCCCUUGAGGCGUGGNUUCCGGAGCUAACG